CCUACGGGGGGCAGCAGUGAGGAAUAUUGGUCAAUGGGCGCGAGCCUGAACCAGCCAAGUAGCGUGAAGGAUGACUGCCCUACGGGUUGUAAACUUCUUUUAUAAAGGAAUAAAGUGAGGCACGUGUGCCUUUUUGUAUGUACGUUAUGAAUAAGGAUCGGCUAACUCCGUGCCAGCAGCCGCGGUAAUACGGAGGAUCCGAGCGUUAUCCGGAUUUAUUUGGUUUAAAGGGAGCGUAGAUGGGUUGUUAAGUCAGUUGUGAAAGUUUGCGGCUCAACCGUAAAAUUGCCAUUGAUACUGGCAGUCUUGAGUACAGUUGAGGUCGGCGGCAUUC
rnacentral:rRNA from 1 species